UACAGAGGGGGCAAGCGUUGUUCGGAAUUACUGGGCGUAAAGGGCGCGUAGGCGGCCCGCUAAGUCGAACGUGAAAUCCCCGAGCUCAACUCGGGAACUGCGUCCGAUACUGGCGGGCUUGAAUCCGGGAGAGGGAUGCGGAAUUCCAGGUGUAGCGGUGAAAUGCGUAGAUAUCUGGAGGAACACCGGUGGCGAAGGCAGCAUCCUGGACCGGUAUUGACGCUGAGGCGCGAAAGCCAGGGGAGCAAACGGG
rnacentral:rRNA from 1 species